rnacentral:rRNA from 1 species
GACGAACGCUGGCGGCGUGCUUAAUACAUGCAAGUCGAGCGAGGCCCAUCCAGUGGCAACACUGGGGAAGGCCGAGCGGCGAACGGGUGAGUAACACGUGAGCAACCUGCCCCGAAGUCUGGAAUAACAUCGGGAAACCGGUGCUAAUACCGGAUUGCCCCACCUGACCGCAUGAUCGGGUGAGGAAAGAUCUAUCGCUUCGGGAGGGGCUCGCGGCCUAUCAGCUAGNGGCGGGGUAACGGCCCACCAAGGCGUCGACGGGUAGCUGGUCUGAGAGGACGACCAGCCACACUGGGACUGAGACACGGCCCAGACUCCUACGGGAGCAGCAGUAGGGAAUCUUGCGCAAUGGGCGAAAGCCUGACGCAGCAACGCCGCGUGGGGA